rnacentral:rRNA from 1 species
AUGGUUAAUCUGAAUCUAUUUAGGUUCUUGAUGACUUUAAAAAGAUAUGUUCGAACAACAAGUCAUCCUGAGGGCUCAAUAGCUGAGGGUUAUAUAUUUGAUGAGAGCCUUACAUUUUGCUCUAGAUACUUAAAUGGUUGUGAGACCAGACAUAAUCGGAAAGCUAGAAAUGAUGAUGGCACCAACCAAGUUGGAAAUGAUGAUGACUCUCAAGAUAUGUUGUCAUACUUCUCCAAGAAUGUUGGUAGAGCUUUGGUUGGCAAUUGUAAUGUGACCUUAGACCACAAAGUUUGGCUUCAUGCUCACAACUAUGUCUUAUAUAAUUCUAACCAUAUGGAACCUUUCCUCAAGUUCUUGGGUUACUUAGAAGUGGUGAACAUAUUGAGGAAGAAGUAA